UACUUGGAUACCUGUAAUAAUUUUAGAGCUAAUACACGCAAGCGGAGCGCAUUUAUUAGAACAAAACCAAUUUUGGUGAAUCUGAAUAACUCACAGUCUAGCACUGGCGACGUAUCUUUCAAGUGUCUGCCUUAUCAACUGUCGAUGGUAGUUUACAUGACUACCAUGGUUGUAACGGGUAACGGAGAAUAAGGGUUCGACUCCGGAGAGGGAGCCUGAGAAACGGCUACCACAUCCAAGGAAGGCAGCAGGCGCGCAAAUUACCCACUCUCAGUGAGGAGGUAGUGACGAAAAAUAACGAGACGGUUCUCUAUGUCAUCGGAAUGGGUACAAUUUAAACCCUUUAACGAGGAUCUAUUGGAGGGCAAGUCUGGUGCCAGCAGCCGCGGUAAUUCCAGCUCCAAUAGCGUAUAUUAAAGUUGUUGCGGUUAAAAAGCUCGUAGUUGGAUCUGCUCGCGUCCCGGUGUCCUGACAGGGUUCUUCGUUGGUUUCCCCUGGUCCUCUUGACUGAGUGCCUGGGUGACCAGCAAGUUUACUUUGAAAAAAUUAGAGUGCUCAAAGCAGGCGCGUAGCCUGAAUAGUGGUGCAUGGAAUAAUGGAAUAGGAGGUUCUAUUUUGUUGGUUUUCGGAGCGCGAGGUAAUGAUUAAGAGGGACAGACGGGGGCAUUCGUAUUGCUGCGUUAGAGGUGAAAUUCUUGGA
rnacentral:rRNA from 1 species